CCUACGGGAGGCAGCAGUGGGGAAUAUUGGACAAUGGGGGAAACCCUGAUCCAGCGACGCCGCGUGUGUGAAGAAGGCCUGCGGGUUGUAAAGCACUUUUAGUGGGGAUGAAAUGUUCACGGCUAAUACCCGUGGAUUUUGACCUAACCCACAG
rnacentral:rRNA from 1 species